ensembl:lncRNA
CCCCCCAUUAACAGGUGCUAUUGUAACGAGAUAAUCAGUGUAAUUCACUUUACCUGUCAGUGGUUUUAAAAUGAUGGCUGAUCUGUGUACAUUUAAGUAUAACACUCAGAUUGUUACACUUUUUCAGUCUCUUUGUAGUCUUGUUACUCAUUUCAGUUUACAUGGGAGUACUUCGUUUCCUUUGUAAAACAAUAUUGCCCUAUUUUACUGUAUAUAGGUGCACAUCCGGAAUUUCAGCCAAAAAAAAAGAAGAAGAAGAAGUUUUGAGGAGAUGUAUCCUAGUUAUUUGCUGUGUUUUGGUCAGUAAGUAACCGUUAAUCUCAGGUAUGGAAUUGGCACAUACAGGAAUUUAAGAACAUCAGAAAAACAGAGAAACUGAGAGACUUACCAUUAUUGUGGGCGUCACGGAUUUCCCCUCUCAACAGCCCGUAGCACGACAGCGCGCGCUUCCAGGUUGUUGACAUUGACUUUGUUUACCUUCUACACGUGUGUUGUGUUUUGGUCUCAGUCCUGUCUCCGCUAUUGUUAUGUUAUUGGCUCCUUUCUAAUGUCUCAGCUGUUUUGUGUUAUUGCCUUGAUUUCGUUGAUUAUUUAAACCCUUUGUGUUUUUUUAUUCCUAAGUAACGCUCAGUGUACCUACUUGGUUUAUUAAACAGGUGUUAUUUGUAUUGCGAUCCUGGGUUGUGGGUUUUUUGUUUGUUUGUUUUUUUUAACCUCUGUUUCUGUUUUCUCGUACAUUGAAUAUUGGAUUACUCUACUGUGUUGUUUGCUGAUCGCUUGAACCGUUCCUGUUUCUGACCACGCUUUUGCCUCUCGUUUUUGGCAUUGCAUGGAUUUUCAUUAAAUAUCCUGUUUAAACUGCAAUUGCAUCAUCUGAGUGGAAUUUGUCAAUGCAGAAAAGGGGGGUCAUCAUAUUAAGCAGAUUAUCUAGUGAGAAGCAGCACUAGAAACUGCUGUUAUUGAAACCUUCUAUAAGUAGGUGUGUCCUAGCUAUUGACACUUUUUUUUCCGCUCCCUUCUUAAAACACGUACACUAGGGAUGUAAGCAAAUAUGAAUAUAUUAUUCUGAAUGAACAGAAGGUGUUCUAAACAGAUAAUAGGAAGGUGCUUCCUAUUUGUAUUUCUUUUUUUCUUCUUUUUUUUAGAAUGCUUUACAGAAAGGUUCACAUCUGGUUGAGAAUUGAGACAGGAAUCUGGAUAUCCAACAAGAUUCGGAAAAAAAAACUUUGUUUAUUAUUAUUAUAUAUAUAUUUUUACUUUCAUUUGUUCCAUCUAACCAACCUAGUACCCUAAAUUAAUGCAGCGUUACCCGAGCAGCCAGUUAUUAAAGUUUCUGUAACAGCAUCAUGCAGUGCCACAUGCUUGUGUUAAUGAAUGUGUUUUUCUUUGUCCCGCAAGCUUCCUAUCUGGAAGCGUCCCUCAGGACACCAGUGACAAUAUGCGUCUCUUGUCUCAACCAAAUGCCGGGUGAAUAUUUCUGGGAAGAUUAAAAAAGAAAUAAACAGCACACCUCUUAUUGGUAUCUGUUUAGAAUGUAUGAUCUGUUCCUUUUUGAAUGAUGUAUUUUUAUUCAGUUACUUCAAUGCAUUUUUGUUGAUACUGUGUUUUUUGUGUGUGUGUGUUUUAUUUAUUUAUUUUUUAGGCCACAAGCCUCAAUAAACUUUAUCUGCAUUGAAAACGUACUGAAUUCUUUUCUGUGUAUAAUAAUUAGAAUUCUAAUUCAAUUUUCAUUGUUUGUUUCUUCAAAUCAUUGAUUAAAAACAGAUAGAAUUACCGGAACAUGGGUGGAGUUCAAUGGUCUUGCGGUCAUGGCUGACGUGAUUUUCUAUAUUGCAGGUAAUGUUUCCUUGAUGGUUUUUAUCCAACAGGAAUGUGCUGUGCGCGUUUCCCAGCUGUGUAAGAGUGCUUAGAUUAGCAGUCCAGAUGAAGCGUUGAAG